UGUCAAGAGUGUCAAGUGAACAGCGAAUCUAAUUUUGGAGAAAAUAAUUGUUUUAUCGACAGCCGUCGUCACCGCAGCCCCAAUCAAGGCGGCGGCGCAGCCAGAGCGGGCAAGAGCGGGCUCCGCGGGCUCUUCUUCCACGCUGAGAAGUCCUCGCCAAGUUGGCACGAACAGUCAAAGCUGCCGCUGCAAUGACGCCUUCAUGGCAGUUACCAGUGCUAAGGACGUGCACUGCUGGCUUACUUGACCAGAAGAGACAAUGUAAACAAGUAAUGAUUCAAACCGUGAAGUGAAAUUGUGAACAGGUUUGCCCGAAUCAGUGUAACCUCAGUGAACUCAUUUACUUCAUAGACUUCAAACAUUUUCGAAAUUAACAAAAGUCAAGCGAACAUUGAAUACAUAGAUGUUAUGCAUUAGAUAAGAUAAAAGCUGCCUGUGAAACCAAAACUAAUAAAUCAUAUUAUUACUUAA